rnacentral:rRNA from 1 species
AGCGAACACUGGCGGCAGGCCUAACACAUGCAAGUCGAACGGACCCUUCGGGGUUAGUGGCGGACGGGUGAGUAACACGUGGGAACGUGCCUUUAGGUUCGGAAUAGCUCCUGGAAACGGGUGGUAAUGCCGAAUGUGCCCUUCGGGGAAAAGAUUUAUCGCCUUUAGAGCGGCCCGCGUCUGAUUAGCUAGUUGGUGGUGUAACGGACCACCAAGGCGACGAUCAGUAGCUGGUCUGAGAGGAUGAUCAGCCACAUUGGGACUGAGACACGGCCCAAACUCCUACGGGAGGCAGCAGUGGGGAAUCUUGCGCAAUGGGCGAAAGCCUGACGCAGCCAUGCCGCGUGAAUGAUGAAGGUCUUAGGAUUGUAAAAUUCUUUCACCGGGGACGAUAAUGACGGUACCCGGAGAAGAAGCCCCGGCUAACUUCGUGCCAGCCGCCGCAGUAACAC